rnacentral:rRNA from 1 species
GAUGAACGCUGGCGGCGUGCCUAAUACAUGCAAGUCGAGCGAACGGACGAGAAGCUUGCUUCUCUGAAGUUAGCGGCGGACGGGUGAGUAACACGUGGAUAACCUACCUAUAAGACUGGGAUAACUUCGGGAAACCGGAGCUAAUACCGGAUAAUAUUUUGAACCGCAUGGUGCAAAAGUGAAAGACGGUCUUGCUGUCACUUAUAGAUGGAUCCGCGCUGCAUUAGCUAGUUGGUAAGGUAACGGCUUACCAAGGCAACGAUGCAUAGCCGACCUGAGAGGGUGAUCGGCCACACUGGAACUGAGACACGUUCCAGACUCCUACGGGAGGCAGCAGUAGGGAAUCUUCCGCAAUGGGCGAAUGCCUGACGGAGCACCGCCGCGUGAGUGAUGAAGGUCUUCGGAUCGUAAAACUCUGUUAUUAGGGAAGAACAUAUGUGUAAGUAACUGUGCACAUCUUGACGGUACCUAAUCAGAAAGCCACGGCUAACUACGUG